AGCUGGAUUCUAUCGAACUGGUAGCAAAUGCUAGUGACAAUCUUUUGAAGUCAUGUGGAAUCAAAGCCGGGCAAAUAGCAAGGGUGCGGAUUGCAGUUGGAAUUGUUAGAAUAAAUCCCAAAGAGAAGCAGUUAUCAGAUACUGCAAGCGAAGCAUCCCCCUCAUCUUCCCAAGGUCUGAAUACUCAUUACUUGUUUUUUGAAGACUCGCCUUCUUCCCAAGACUCGCUUUCACAAGACUCAUUACAAGACCUACCAACCACACCUGGUAGGCCUACCUGUGCAAGUUAUAAAAGAAGCAAAGAUUAAAAAAAAAUCACCAGCUGCUACAUCUUUGGAUGCCGUGUCAGGCCAGCCGGCCUUUUCCCAUCUCGAUAAAGAACAAGAGAAAGACUGGUGUACUAAAUUUCAGCUGCCUACCUCAAGUUCUUGGCAAUCAGCGAUUAAAUAUAGAUUCAAGAACCUAAGAAAAACACGACAAGUUUCCUCUGGAAAUGGGACUGCAGUAGGAAAGCCAGAGAUGAAAAAAAGAAAGUGUGAGGCGGUCGAUACAGAAAAUGGGG